GAUGGCAUGCGUUGUAUUAGCUGGUUGGUGAGGUAACGGCUCACCAAGGCGACGAUACAUAGGGGGACUGAGAGGUUAACCCCCCACAUUGGUACUGAGACACGGACCAAACUCCUACGGAAGGCAGCAG
rnacentral:rRNA from 1 species